rnacentral:rRNA from 1 species
AUACGGAGGAUCCGAGCGUUAUCCGGAUUUAUUGGGUUUAAAGGGUGCGCAGGCGGCCAUUUAAGUCAGCGGUUAAAUCGUGGGGCUCAACCCCAUUCUGCCGUUGAUACUGGGUGGCUUGAUUGCGGUCGAGGUUGGCGGAAUUCGUUGUGUAGCGGUGAAAUGCAUAGAUAUGACGAAGAACACCGAUUGCGUAGGCAGCUGACCAGACCGCAAAUGACGCUCAUGCACGAAAGUGCGGGGAUCGAACAGGAUUAGAUACCCUGGUAGUCCGCACAGUAAACGAUGAAUACUUGUUUUCGGCGAUAUAAUGUCGGAGGCAAAGCGAAAGCGAUAAGUAUUCCACCUGGGGAGUACGCCGGCAACGGUGAAACUCAAAGGAAUUG